CCUUAACCGUUGGGGUGCCCGUCAGGGCUGAGACUCGCGCAAGCGUAAACCCAUCGAACCUGAUCCGGGCAAUGCCGGCGGAGGGAACGGUCUCAUAAGCAGA
rnacentral:ncRNA from 1 species